GUCCAUGCCGUAACGAUGUCAACUAGCCGUUGGCUCCUUGAGGCUUAGUGGCGCAGCUAACGCGAUAAGUUGACCGCCUGGGAGUACGGUCGCAAGACUAAACUCAAAUGAAUUGACGGGCCGGCACAAGCGGUGGAGCAUGUGGUUAAUUCGAUGCAACGCGAAGAACCUUACCUGGCCUUGACAUGUCUGGAAUCCUGCAGAGAUGCGGGAGUGCCUUCGGGAAUCAGAACACAGGUGCUGCAUGGCUGUCGU
rnacentral:rRNA from 1 species